AUUGAACGCUGGCGGAAUGCUUUACACAUGCAAGUCGAACGGCAGCACGGGGGCAACCCUGGUGGCGAGUGGCGAACGGGUGAGUAAUACAUCGGAACGUGCCCAGUCGUGGGGGAUAACGUAGCGAAAGUUACGCUAAUACCGCAUACGAUCUACGGAUGAAAGCGGGGGACCGUAAGGCCUCGCGCGAUUGGAGCGGCCGAUGUCAGAUUAGGUAGUUGGUGAGGUAAAGGCUCACCAAGCCGACGAUCUGUAGCUGGUCUGAGAGGACGACCAGCCACACUGGGACUGAGACACGGCCCAGACUCCUACAGGAGGCAGCAGUGGGGAAUUUUGGACAAUGGGCGCAAGCCUGAUCCAGCCAUUCCGCGUGCAGGACGAAGGCCUUCGGGUCGUAAACUGCUUUUGUACGGAACGAAAAGGCUCUGGUUAAUACCUGGGGCUCAUGACGGUACCGUAAGAAUAAGCACCGGCUAACUACGUGCCAGCCGCCGCGGUAA
rnacentral:rRNA from 1 species